UCCCUAGUAGCUCAGUCAGUAAAGCAUCUGCCUGCAAUGCAGGAGAGACCUGGUUCAAUCCUUGACUUGGGGA
rnacentral:tRNA from 1 species